UGGAGUAGAAUAAGGAAGGGUAAUGGAAGAAAGUAAUAGAAUAACAGCUCCUAGUCCCAGUUUGCCCAAGAACCAGAGUCACUCCUAGCAGCUGAAGCAUUUCCUGACCAUGAGCAGAGGAGGCAGACAAUUUUUAAGUAAUGUACUCUGACAUAUCUUGCAUAUCCACAGCAGCAUGUGGAGAGAAUGGAGGCUGAGAGCUGACCUGAGAUGGUACCUAGAGGUUCAUCUUUUCUGCCACUGAGACAGUGCAAAUUUGGAAGUGAAGGGGAACAUGUGGUAUUUUAAGGCAAAUACAUAGUCUUUGCAUAUGGAUGUUAGAACAGCAUAUGGAUGUGGUCAACAGAUGGACAUAGAUCUACAGAGGACAGUAGAGCUCAGUUUUACUAAAGGGGCUUCUUCCCAGACACCAGUAAAACAGACAUGUUCUUCAGUGCUGUUUUCCCUAGCAAUGCUCCAAGGAACACCACUGCUGUGUAUUCCCAUAGCUGCACAAUUAGCAGCAGGGGGAAGAUGAAGCUGGUCUCUCUACUGAAGGGAUCCCACAAAGAGCUGGGAUAGCCAGCAUAGGCUCACAGAUCCAGGAGAGCCUCAGCAGUUGUACCCCUUUCUGAGAUACAAUGUACUGUGACUUUUCUCUUAUUUGGACAGUUAUAGUCCAUUUACACACUAAAUUAAGCCAGACCACCUCUCCUCUGUGAUUACUGAAUGGCAGUCAGUUCUAGAGACAGGGAAUACUCUCACACUUCAGGCUUUUGAUAUGUUGUUCACUCAAUUCUUUCAGGUUCUGCUAGAUAUUAAGGUAUUGUCCCAGUAAUUUUGUAUAAUUUGACUGCACACUCAAACAAUGCUUUUGAGUAAAUUAUGAUGCUACUCAUUGUGACUGAACAGGAAUGGGAAUAGAUUUGUCUCUGUUCUCAGAGGAGAUAAGCCCACCCAUUAGGAGAAAGUUUCCUGGUUUACACUCUUGGCAUAAAAUGAAAUUCCCUAUCUGUACUAUCCUUGCUUAUACCCUGAACCCAUAAACACUUUCACUAAAUAUUUGCAAAGAAGAGGAAACACAGCCAAAUCCUACUAAGUUAUAAUGAACAGCAAUCAUAUUGCAGAACAUUUGUCUUUUCUGCAUAUUCCACUGGGGAGAGGUUGCUUUAAAACUUUCAAUAUGAUUUAAGCACAAAUGCUUUUUAUAUAGGUCAGGAAAGAGAAAUGUAAUUUCCCUCAGUUUUAUUUAGUCAAAGUUCUCUGUUCUAGCACUUAAUUAAUGACUCUGGUGAAAUGCUUUGAAAACAGUAACAUUUCUAACCCCAAAUGUGUUGCCAAAAUGAGUACUUCCUGGUCAUUAUCUAUUUUGGAGAGGAUGCUGAACACACAUGCAUGUGCUGUUAAUAAACUCAAGGAAACUAUUUUUAUGGCUGUGGAAAAAAAGGAAAAAAUAUAUUUCUUCUUCAGUACUUGUCUCUGUCAGUUAUAGCUGUGGGAAACAAAAAACUGAAAUAAGAAAUGUGGAAAGCAAAGGAGCAGAGGGAAGGAAAGCCACACAGGGGUGUGCAACAAUAACCCACCUGGAACAGUCAGCUUCCCCAUUUGGCUUUAGCAUUUAAUUUCUUUUCUGACGCAUACACCCUUGAAACCCAAGCACCCCAAAGACAGCCCACAUAAGGACAUAAGCACCCAGAAUCAAAAAUGAGGCAGAACUGGGUCCAAAAUACAAUCCUCAAAUGUUUACCUAAUCCAAUGACUACCUGGGGUUUUGCCAGUAAUUUUUCCUAUGGCUUUAAGCUUUUAUGUCUCUUAAAGCCCAGCCUCUGCGUCAGCCACUGCAGCCCAGAGGGUAUGUGCACUCAGAGUUCCCCUUAGGUUUGUUUCAAAUUCCUACUGCAAUCUGACAACAUUGCUAUCAAACAUCUCCCUAAACAAGGGGUGACACACAUCCCGCUGUGCCACAGCCUGAUGUCCCCUUACCCAGGCAGCACCAAAUGCACUGAUCCUGCAGGCACUACUGUUAGAAAUACUUUCAACUGUCAGAGCCCCUAAUUGCCAUACUUCAUACUUGGAAGAUUUGGAACUGUCCCCCAGGACUGUCCUGUCCUUCCUCUUCAACUCUUUUGCUACCAGACCUACAACUCAAGAGUGGAGAAAAGUUCACUGAUAAGUCCCCCACAUUGUCUGGAAGAUUUCUCAUGGAAGCCCUUUUCACACCAUGAUACCACUCAAGCACACACAUACCUGGAGGAGGCUCCAGUAGGAAACCCUGCAUGGUUCUCAAGAGGUACAGAGGAAGUUAAAAAUACCCCAAAGGUGUAAAAAAAAAUAAUCUUCAGUGUUAUUGGCACAUCUUUAUUCAUAAAAUAAACUGUAAAAUCUUGUCAAGGCUGUGACAAUGAAACAUUGGAUCUACAUGAAAAAAGCACACAAAGCAUGAAAUAGCAUCAAGCAUUAGUGUCUUCUAGGUGACUGGACUAAGUCCUGAUGCUUAUCUUGAGGUGGGGUGUGCUGAUGGGAGUGACAGCAGUGAUAAGGUGGAGACACCACAAGCAGAGAUGAGAAGGUUUCACUUCUAAGUGAGGAUGGCAAUGAUUUUGAUUCUGACACACAAAAAAAGUCAUCCCUGAAAUAACAGUUGGUGAAAGAGCUGAUCUGUGCAUCAAUAUCUAACAGCGAUUGAAACAGGAAGUGGUUCUUGAGAUCUCAGGUAAAUGUGAAAACAGCAACAUAGACUAACAAGUAAACCAUAAAUCUCCUCACUGAAAUACUUACUGGAUGCAUCACCCAUCUUUAAACAGCACAAACACUGCUCUUCGAAUGUUGUUCCACAGACCCACAGCACUGACAAAAUAAACAGCUGCCCAGGACUUCUCAUUCUGCAUUUCUACUUUCUGCUGGAAAACAAUGAUACUGGCUAAACAUGUGUAUUGUAAACAUUUGCCUGUGUUGUUCUUGCUUUGUAUAUUUACACAUCCAUGUAAAUUUUAUGUUUUAGUUUUGACAGAGAAAACCUGCAGUGACUUUUAAGUUUAACACAUUAAUUCUGACGACGUUGUUUCACGUACUGCCAAUAUGCUUUUUUUUUUUUUUUUUAAGAACAUAAAACAUAUUAAGAAAGCACACUUGCUUCAUGAAACUUCACACUACUGUUACAUGUUUCAGGGGCCAAGAAAGUGAUCUAAUGCAAGGUUUUUGACCAGUGAAGUUACUCUGCAUCAUUGGAUUUACUUGGCAAGGCCAAGGAAACAAAGUGCAGAAGGCAUGGGGAUCCCAUGUGAAAGUUUGCCAGCCUGGAAAGAAAGAAGCUAAGGCAAUGCCAAGUCACAAAUGCUGAAUUUGUUGAAAAGCUGGAUCAUGUUAGCAGGAGAUGCAACACAUGGAUGAGGAGAACAGCACAGAGGUUGUUGAGAACAAUGUGUGAAGUUUUAGACAACUAGUCAGCAAGCUGGCAUCUUUAUUUUAAACUAGAUGCAAACUUUAGAGGGACUCAUGCUCUUGGAGAAAAAAAAAAA
rnacentral:lncRNA from 1 species